UCUGUGGAUCGUAAACCUCUUUUUUCAGAGAAGAAUAAAUGACGGUAUCUGAAGAAUAAGCUCCGGCUAACCUCGUGCCAGCAGCCGCGGUAAUACNAGGGGAGCAAGCGUUAUCCGGAAUGAUUGGGCGUAAAGCGUCUGUAGGUGGUCUAGAAAGUCUGCUGUCAAAUACCAAGGCUCAACCUUGGACAGGCAGCAGAGUACCUUUAGACUUGAGUGUGGUAGAGGUAGAGGGAAUCCCUAGCGUAACAGUGAAAUGUGUAGAUUUUAGGGAGAACACCAGCGGCGAAGGCGCUCUACUGGGCCAAUACUGACACUGAGAGACGAAAGCUAAGGGAGCGAAUAGGAUUAGAUACCCUAGUAGUCUUAGCUGUAAACGAUGGAAACUAAGUGCUGCCGAAUGCAGUGCUGUAGCUAACGCGUUAAGUUU
rnacentral:rRNA from 1 species